GUCAUAGUUAUCAGUUAUGUCAAUUUAAAUAUUGUCAAUAUAAUAUCUGCUCCAUUUUACCUACUUUUUUACUUAAAUAAUAUAGAAUAUCUUUUAAAAAAAUGUUCAGCAACAAAAUUGUGAAACAGUUUAUCGAUAAACAAUACCUGACAUGGUCUAGAUAUCAGAAAUAUGCAACUCACAAACGUUUCUACAGGCGAACAGAUAUCGUUCAAAAUGAAAGCAUUGGGAAGUAAUCUAGACCAUCGGCGCCUAAAACUCCAAAUGGUCGCGUCUUUACCGUAAACACAGAACCACUGCACGGGCAGUAGCUGUUGAAUGGGACGCACAACACGAAUGUAUUACACGGCCUACUAUGCAUCUCACUGCACUGUGUAAUACAGCUAUUGACAAUCCAGGGAAGUUAAAUUGCCAUGAUAUUACAAGUUACUUGUUAGACUUCAUUGCAACGACACAUUACUUUUUAUUCAGAGGU